AGAGUUUGAUCAUGGCUCAGAUUGAACGCUGGCGGCAGGCUUAACACAUGCAAGUCGAGCGGGGAAAGGUAGCUUGCUACUUAACCUAGCGGCGGACGGGUGAGUAAUGCUUAGGAAUCUGCCUAUUAGUGGGGGACAACAUCUCGAAAGGGAUGCUAAUACCGCAUACGUCCUACGGGAGAAAGCAGGGGACCUUCGGGCCUUGCGCUAAUAGAUGAGCCUAAGUCGGAUUAGCUAGUUGGUGGGGUAAAGGCCUACC
rnacentral:rRNA from 1 species